rnacentral:rRNA from 1 species
CGCCNGCCCAGAGAUUAANUUUANCGGNCGNGGGAUCCUAACCGUGCGAAGGUAGCGNAAUCACUUGUUCUUUAAAUGAGGACUAGUAUGAACGGCAUCACGAAGGUUACACUGUCUCCUUUUUCUAAUCAGUGAAACUAAUUUCCCCGUGAAGAAGCGGGGAUAGUCUAAUAAGACGAGAAGACCCUAUGGAACUUUAAACAAAGUAACAAGUACUAUUAUUUAUUCAUAUUUCCGAAUCAAACAUAAUCUAGUACGAUGAUUACUAGUUUUAGGUUGGGGUGACCGCGGAGAAAAACAUAACCUCCACAUUGAAAGAAAAACUCUAAGCCCAAAGCUACAACUUAAAGCAUCAAUAUACUGACAUUAAUUGACCCAAUUGUAUUGAGCAACGAACCAAGCUACCCUAGGGAUAACAGCGCAAUCCACUUUAAGAGCCCCUAUCGACNAGUGGGUUUCCGACCUCGAUGUUGGAUCAGGNUUUUCCAGUGGUCCNCCCGCUACU